UGUGGAAAAUUUAGUAUCCUUGCCGAUAUUUUGCACAUACGAACAAGUCAAUUAUGCUUUGACAGUUUAGAUUACAAUUCAACAAUCAGUCCGUUUAAAUCGAAGUAAUGCACCAACACAUUCAAAACAGGAUGGUCGAGGCGGAGAGAAGAUACAAAGCUAGGUUUUUGAGAGGUCGAGCUACGAUUAAAAGAUUCCAGAAGGGAGAUAUUUGAUUUUAGACAAUGGAUGACUUCGAAAUGUGGCACAUGAUCAGCUACGAAUGUGGCACAUGACCAGCUACGAUGAGACUUCACAGCAUCUGAGGGACGACACAGAAUUACUAAGCAAGCAGUUAGGUGGACGGUUUGCCUACCUAAUAGUUAUCCGACAAUGGAUGACUUCGAAAUGUGGCACAUGACCAGCUACGAAUGUGACACAUGACCAGCAACGAUGAAACUUCACAGCAUCUGAGGGACGACACAGAAUUACUAAGCAAGCAGUUAGGUGGACGGUUCGCCUACCUAAUAGUUAUCCGGUGAGCGUAUUUCAUUUUGUUCAAAUUGCUUCAUUCAAACGCAUUACCAUUAAUCAUUGCUAGCAAUGUGAUUGUCUAACACUUAGUUUGAGAUAUAUUACUAUAAAAGAUGCAUUUGGCGUGCGGACCCGAACCAUAACAAAAAAAAAAAUAAUAAAAAAA